UACGAAGGGGGCUAGCGUUGCUCGGAAUCACUGGGCGUAAAGCGUGCGUAGACGGUUACAUAAGUCGGGUGUGAAAGCCCCGGGCUCAACCUGGGAAUUGCAUUCGAGACUGCGUAGCUAGGGUGCGGAAGAGGGAAGCGGAAUUUCCGGUGUAGCGGUUGAAAUGCGUAGAUAAUCGGAAGGAACACCAGUGGCGAAAGCGGACUUCC
rnacentral:rRNA from 1 species